rnacentral:rRNA from 1 species
CCUACGGGUGGCAGCAGUGAGGAAUAUUGGUCAAUGGUCGGGAGACUGAACCAGCCAAGCCGCGUGAGGGAUGAAGGUACAGAGUAUCGUAAACCUCUUUUGUCAGGGAACAAAGGCGGGGACGUGUCCCCGGAUGAGUGUACCUGAAGAAAAAACAUCGGCUAACUCCGUGCCAGCAGCCGCGGUAAUACGGAGGCUGCGAGCGUUAUCCGGAGUUAGUGGGUUUAAGGGGUGCGCAGGCGGUCGUUUAAGUCAGCGGUAAACGCCCGGGGCGCAACCCCGGCCCGCCGUUGAAACUGGCAGUCUCGAGUUGGCGAGAAGUAUGCGGAAUGCGCGGUGUAGCGGUGAAAUGCAUAGAUAUCGCGCAGAACUCCGAUUGCGAAGGCAGCAUGCCGGCUCCACACUGACGCUGAGGCACGAAAGCGUGGGUAUCGAACAGGAUUAGAUAUCCGUGUAGUC